AGCACACCUAGGCUGAUCACCGAAAACAAGCCCCCUUAGCUUGCUGGCGUGUUUCCAUUCAUAAGGG
rnacentral:sRNA from 1 species